UCUACAAAUACCCGACUGCUCUGUCCGUUCCCCCUCUUCCACUCGUCUCGCCAUUAACAAGGGCGGAAGCUCCGGGAAACAAUUUUCUUCCCCCAAAUCCUCCAGACAAAGCCCUACCACCUGAGCCCCAAACCCAGCUAACUCUCACGCGCGCGCGCUCCCCCUCAGCGUGGAAUUUAUGCCCGAAUUUUCUGCCAAUUUGGGUUCACCGGCCAUUCGUGGCAGGAGUUCAGGAUAGAGCUCGCGGGGAUGAGGCUGCACGGGGAUGUGUCGGAUGGCGAAGAGGAUGCGGUGAUGGAUCCAGCUCUGCUGUCAUCGUCGUCGCCGAACGGAGCGGCAGUGGCAGCUGCCGUCUCUGCGCCGAGGCUGGUGGUGGGCUACGCCCUCACCAAGAAGAAGGUGAAGAGCUUCCUCCAGCCCAAGCUGCUCUUGCUGGCGAGGAAGAAAGGAAUUAGUUUCGUAUCAAUUGAUGAGACUCAUCCUCUCUCCGAGCAAGGACCAUUUGAUAUUAUACUGCACAAGAAAACUAGCAAGGAGUGGCAGCGAGUUCUGGAGGAUUAUCAUGAAGUGCAUCCAGAAGUCACUGUUCUUGAUCCACCCAAUGCCAUCGAGCAUCUAAACAAUCGACAAUCGAUGCUUGAAGAAGUAGCAGAUCUGAACCUGUCCAGUUUCUAUGAAGAAGUUUGCACUCCACGCCAACUGGUCAUUAUGAAAGAUCCGUCCUCUAUACCAACUGCAGUUGCCAUGGCUGGACUAACCUUGCCAUUAGUUGCCAAGCCAUUGGUUGUUGAUGGAACUUCAAAAUCUCAUGAGCUAUCUCUUGCAUACGACGAGGCAUCAUUGUCAAUGUUGGAUCCACCUCUGGUACUCCAGGAAUUUGUGAAUCAUGGCGGGAUCCUCUUUAAGGUGUACAUCAUUGGUGAAGCAAUACAGGUUGUCCGCAGGUUUUCUGUUCCUGAUGUUAACACCUAUGACUUACUAAACAAUGUUGGCAUCUAUCGACUUCCAAGAGUUUCAUGUGCUGCAGCUAGUGCAGACCAUGCAGACCUUGAUCCUCGUAUUGCAGAGCUUCCUCCAAGACCACUUCUAGAGAAACUGAGCAGGGAGCUACGUAGUCGGCUGGGUCUGAGAUUGUUCAACGUAGAUAUGAUUAGAGAACUUGGAGCAAAUGAUCGGUACUAUAUAAUUGAUAUCAAUUACUUCCCAGGCGAAACAAUUUUAUCCCAGCCGAAGGGAAAAGAAGUGUAUCAACCCGAGAUGUCUCUGGCCGUCUAGGCCAGUUUAACACUGUUCCAGUAGGGAUAUCUUCUCCACUAACCAAGGUUUACUUGGUUGGAGCAUGAGUAGAGUCUUGCUAACUGUAUGUUGUUCAGCCCAGGGGCAGAUUGUUCCAACUCUUUACAGGGUAUGGGAAAAUGCCAGGCUAUGAACACAUAUUCACUGACUUCUUGCAAAGUCUUGGGCAAAACAAUUAUAAAAGGAGCUUGAGCGAGGGCUGAAGUGCGAGGAAGUUUGUGAUUGAACAACAGGAGAGCAUGUAUGGGCGGAAACCAUACUUUUUCAGAAAUGUAUAUAUCUGGGAUAUAAGCUGGAACCCACCAAAGGCUUGAAGAAGUCCCAAACUCACAGUGCUGAUCUUCUCAGAACUCACAAGUGGCGCCACAUACAGGGUCAGGAGUAAGGGGAUAAAGAAGAAAAGCUCGAAUGACCCUUGUUUGUAUAAAUCGGUGAAUAUUGUAUUCUGGGUGCCUUUGUGUAGGAUUGUUUUGAACAUAGUUUGGUGAUCCUCUCAUCAUUAAUCUUGACUCAAGUUUCAUAAAGUAGAAUUGUUAACAUA